rnacentral:rRNA from 1 species
AACGAACGCUGGCGGCAUGCCUAACACAUGCAAGUCGAACGAGACCUUCGGGUCUAGUGGCGCACGGGUGCGUAACGCGUGGGAACCUGCCCUUAGGUUCGGAAUAACUCCCCGAAAGGGGUGCUAAUACCGGAUAAUGUCUUCGGACCAAAGAUUUAUCGCCUUUGGAGGGGCCCGCGUUGGAUUAGCUAGUUGGUAGGGUAAAAGCCUGCCAAGGCGACGAUCCAUAGCUGGUCGGAGAGGAUGAUCAGCCGCACUGGGGUUGAGACACGGCCCAGACUGGUACGGGAGGGAGGGGUGGGGGAUAUUGGAGGAGGGGCGAGAGCCUGAGCGAGCGAUGCCGGGUGAGUGGUGAAGGCCUGAGGGUUGUAAAGCUCUUUUACCCGGGAUGAUAAUGACAGUACCGGGAGAAUAAGCUCCGGCUAACUCCGUG